AAGACCUUGUGGACCUUUACUGCAACUUGUUGUUGCAAAUUUAUGAUAGAUACAUAGAAUAAGUAGGAGAAUACGCGUAGUUUCGGCGAAGCGGCUCACAAUAUGUAAUACUACUUAUCUUUUGUAGAUUCGCUCACUCUUUCGAGGACACCAACAGGCGGGCAGUUUGCCUGGGGCGGGACCCCUCUGAAAAGAUAUCGGAGGGACCUAAAGACAAGCUCAUCCAGGUCGGAAAUCUGGAGUAGAGUGUAAGGGCAAAAGCUUGUCUAACUGUUUUCUAAAUAGCACAGAAAGCAGAGUUGAAAGACGGGCCUAACGAACCAUUGAGCGUUUUUAAUGGAUGCCAAUUGUGGUAGAAAAGGUACCCCAAGGAUAACUGGGUCGUCUCGCCCGAUAGUUCAUAUUGACGGCGAGGCUUGCUACACCGCUGUCGGCUCUUCCUAUCCUGGCUGUGCACAAGCAGCCAAGGGUGCUGGAGUUCACAUAUUAAAAGGAAUCGUUAGCUGGGUUAAGAUCGUCGUGAGACAGAUUGUAUGAUAUCUAUUAGGUGUGCUGUUGUCUGAAUGGAACGAUCCUGUAGUACGAGAGGAACCAGGGUCGGGAGCCUCUGGUCUAGCAGUUGUUAUAUAGCAGGCUGCGCAGCUACGCUCCAUAUGGAUAAGCGCUGAAAGCAUCUAAGCACGAAGCCAUCCGUAAGACGAGACAACAAAAGCCGUCGUAAAAGACGACGUUGAUAGAGUUGAUGUGUAAUAUCCAAGAACCCGAGGAUUUCAGCAUGCAACUACUAAAAGCUUCAUUAAACAUCUUCUA
rnacentral:rRNA from 1 species